GAUGAACGCUGGCGGCGUGCCUAAUACAUGCAAGUCGAGCGAACAGACGAGGAGCUUGCUCCUCUGACGUUAGCGGCGGACGGGUGAGUAACACGUGGAUAACCUACCUAUAAGACUGGGAUAACUUCGGGAAACCGGAGCUAAUACCGGAUAAUAUAUUGAACCGCAUGGUUCAAUAGUGAAAGACGGUUUUGCUGUCACUUAUAGAUGGAUCCGCGCCGCAUUAGCUAGUUGGUAAGGUAACGGCUUACCAAGGCAGCGAUGCGUAGCCGACCUGAGAGGGUGAUCGGCCACACUGGAACUGAGACACGGUCCAGACUCCUACGGGAGGCAGCAGUAGGGAAUCUUCCGCAAUGGGCGAAAGCCUGACGGAGCAACGCCGCGUGAGUGAUGAAGGUCUUCGGAUCGUAAAACUCUGUUACUAGGGAAGAACAAAUGUGUAAGUAACUAUGCACGUCUUGACGGUACCUAAUCAGAAAGCCACGGCUAACUACGUG
rnacentral:rRNA from 1 species